AGCGAACGCUGGCGGCAGGCCUAACACAUGCAAGUCGAACGGGCUCUUCGGAGCUAGUGGCGGACGGGUGAGUAACACGUGGGAACGUGCCUCUAGGUUCGGAAUAAGCCCGGGAAACUGGGUCUAAUACCGAAUGUGCCCUUCGGGGGAAAGAUUUAUCGCCUUUAGAGCGGCCCGCGUCUGAUUAGCUAGUUGGUGAGGUAAUGGCUCACCAAGGCGACGAUCAGCAGCUGGUCUGAGAGGAUGACCAGCCACAUUGGGACUGAGACACGGCCCAGACUCCUACGGGGGGCAGCAGUGUGGACUCUUGCGCAAUGGGCGAAAGCCUGACGCAGCCAUUCCGCGUGGAUGAUGAAGGUCUUAGGAUUGUAAAAUCCUUUCACCGGUGAAGAUAAUGACUGUAGCCGGAGAAGAAGCCCCGGCUAACUUCGUGCCAGCCGCCGCGGUAAAAC
rnacentral:rRNA from 1 species